UACAGAGGUGGCAAGCGUUGUUCGGAAUUACUGGGCGUAAAGGGCGCGUAGGCGGCCUUCUAAGUCAGACGUGAAAUCCCCCGGCUUAACCUGGGAACUGCGUCUGAUACUGGGAGGCUUGAGUAUGGGAGAGGGAUGUAGAAUUCCAGGUGUAGCGGUGAAAUGCGUAGAUAUCUGGAGGAAUACCGGUGGCGAAGGCGGCUACCUGGACCAGCACUGACACUGAGGCACGAAAGCGUGGGGAGCAAACAGG
rnacentral:rRNA from 1 species